CCAGUUUCAGCCUACUUCUCCCACCACCGUAUAUCAUAAAAUUUCUUAUUUACUUCUUCUCUCUUGAUUACCUCUUCGUAUCCUCUUCGUAUCUUCACUCCGUCUCCGUAUUUGCGUCCAUCCGUCUCUUCUCUAAUUGGUUCAACUGCAUCAGGUUUUGGAAAUCGAAGUGUAUGCCAUUUUUUUAAUUUGGAGUUUAAGGCUGAGCUUGAUGAUAGAAUCGUUUGAUCAUAAACCCAGUUUAGCAAUUUACGAAAACGGAGACGAGAUCUAGACGGCAGAGAAAUAGAGUUGAAUGGAAGAGGAUAUGCAAGAAGAUGUUCGAAAGAAGCAGCUCUAAGGUGGAAAUUUAUGGGACCUCUGCUUCCGACAGAAACGAUGCUGACCCAUGAUGACGGAGUCGCCGAUGCUGGUGGGAGCAACAGUGGAAAGAUUCUCACGGUCAAAAGAAGGCUAAAAGUACAUAGAGGUUACAUUUUCUUUAUGACAAUCAGAAUCGUUGGUGGUGAUCGUAGCCUAAAGGAACUUCAGAUGCUUCUGCAGCUGCACAAGAGAGAUGAAAUCUGAGUGAUUUUGCCAAGCCUCUUGGGCGAUGAAAAUUUUGUUAUGUUAUGUCUUGCUAGGUAAAGGCAGGUCAGUAUAACUUUCAUUCAUUCCCUAUCUUUGUUGGAGUUUGUUGUUCAUGUUAUACAAACACAAUUUAACCUUUGUUCAAAUCUGUUCAUUGUUUUUCCAACCAAAUUCUCACACAUAUAUGCAAAUAUGAAACAAGAUUCUUUCCAAUACCCUGCUUCACCAAAUUCAAGUUGAACAUCAUCUCAAAAGAGAAAUAGAGGUUCAGUCUCAUCUCGAGUCUCAUCUCAUGAGUGGCGUUUCAGACAUAUUUUGAGGUAUAUGAAACAUAUUAUUAGUACAUUUUUUCCUUCAGUUCAGUGAAUCUUUUAGGACUUCUGUGGUGGUUGAUGUUUUUGAAGUUGUUAUGACAACACAAAGUCAUUUGCUUCAAAGUGAAUGAAGCGUGUUCAUCAGCUCCAAGAGGCUGGUUUCAUCAUGAUGUUCUUCACUUCAGGUAUAUAUGUUUGUUUCAUUGAUGUGAAAUAUCUAACUCUUAUGUAAGGGUGAGAAUGGAGAAAUACAUGUGGCUGUAAGACGUCCAAUGUGACAGCAGGGAAAUGUGCCAUCUUCUGUUAUCUCGAGCCACAACGUGCAUCUUGGAGUAUUUUCAACCGGAUGACACACCAUUUCAACAGUAGCUCCAAGAGUUGUGCUUUCUAAAACGGUGUUUGUCAAAAGCCUUCGCCUUCAGCCUUUACCUCCAAAGAUUUUCUUGAUUGCUCUCAUGUGGAUGGCUUCAGACGUGCCUCCUGGUGUUUGUAGAGAACACACCGUCAAUUUUUCAAGUUCAUGGUUUGUGGCGGUCCAUGCUGUUGUGCCUUUCAUACCUAUGCUCGGAAACUCUGUGCUGAUGCCUAAAGCAGCCAUGGCUAAAACCAUCGGAGCAUCGAUCUUGGGACAGCUCAUUAGUCAAGAGCUGAACAUUACCGUCUCGGAGCAGCAGCUGCGAAUAAAGUUUCUGAAAGUUAACAAGAUCUAUGAUGGUUCAGACGUUGCCAAAGGAAAUUGUGCUGAUGGGGAAGGAGUGACAGAUGGUUAUUAGUUAUUACUUAUUACAAUGUAAUAGUAUAGGCCUCGACCACAAGCUUUAAUCAUUUCAAAGAAGAAAUAUGAAAUGAUUUUUCUCUAAUGUAUAUGACUAUAAAUGAGGAUACCAGAUGAGAAAAAUAUUGAUAGAGAAGCUAUUGAAAAGGUCAAAUUAUGUAGUU